rnacentral:rRNA from 1 species
GUCGAGAAUCUUGGGCAAUGCGCGAAAGCGUGACCCAGCAAUGCCGCGUGCAUGAUGAAGGCCUUCGGGUUGUAAAAUGCUGUCACCCGGGACGAAAAAAAUGACGGUACCGGGGGAGGAAGCCACGGCUAACUACGUGCCAGCAGCCGCGGUAAUAGGUAGGUGGCGAGCGUGGUUCGGAUUUAUUGGGCGUAAAGGGUCUGUAGGAGGUUUCUUAAAUUCGAGGUGAAAUACCGGAGCUCAACUUCGGAACUGCCUUGGAGACUGGGAGACUAGAGUACUGGAGAGGUAAGCGGAAUACCAAGUGUAGCGGUGGAAUGCGUAGAUAUUUGGUAGAACACCAAGAGCGAAGGCAGCUUGCUGGACAGAAACUGACUCUGAGAGACGAAAGCGUGGGGAGCAAACAGGAUUAGAUACCCUAGUAGUCC